AGAGAGAUGCAGUUUGUUGGCUGUAUUGUGAAGGAGUCAGUGCUGUGAGGAGCUGCACAUGAGAAAUCACCAAGAAGCUGGACUUGCAAUGCUUGGAUAUCCUGGACAAGAGCGAGACUGUCAAGUCUAACCUCCUCAGUCAUCCCUCUGGGCUUCCUCAUCUGAAAUUGCAAAUAUCCACAAGACUACACCCUUAAUAUCUGAAACAUCCCUUGGGUUAGGUCCAACACCUAGGAAGAGUUUGAGGGACACACGUGGUGUUUGACAGUGCAGCUUUGGCUGGUUCCUGGCAGGCAGGAGCUCACAUCCCAAACUGGGUUAUGUUGCUCCUACCUCAUGCUGCAGCCAAGAUCCCAUGGGAGAGACCAUCCAGCACUGACAUGCCUGGAGUGACUUGGGAACCUGCCCCCUGCUGCCAGCUUUCUUCUGGAAAAGGGUUUUGUGCCAGGUGGGAGCAGGUGGGAAAUGUCCUCUGGGAUGCACUGACCUCAGAGACAGGAGGAGGUGACAGUGCAUGGGAGACGUGGGUUUCUGCCAAUGCUUUGUGUGGGCUUGUGUGCCAUGUCUCCCUGAUUUCUGGUUGUGGGAUUAACCAAAAUUUACAAAUAGAAUAAAACCAAGGUGAGGAAAUACAACGUUGGCUGGUACUGCUCCAUCUUGGUCUGGGCCCACACCCUGACAGAGGUCUGGGCUAAGUGUUUCCAGCCAUGUCCAAAGAAUAUGUGCAUGUAAGUCACCAUUAUCUUUAUUCCUCUUGUGGUGCCAGCUUGGAAGGAACCCUGGUCUGACCUUUCUUGGCAAAAGCAUAGUCUAGACAAGAUGGCCUGGCUCCCUGUGCAGCUGAAUCUUAAAAAUGUCAGCUACUGGGGAGUCCCCCACAUCUCUGGGGAGUUUAUCCCCAUGACUGACUGUUCUCUGCGUGAAAAAAUUUUCCUCUUUUGUCCAAUCUCACCAGGAGUAACUUGUACCUGUUACCUCCCCUCUUUUCCAUGUGACUCUGUAAAAAGGGAGUUUCAUGUUCUUUGUAGCCACCCUUUAAGUACUGGGACACAGCAAUAAAGUCUCCCCUGAGCCUUCUUUAUCCAAGGCUGUACAAACCCAGUUCUCCCAGCCUUUUCUAUUAUGGCUGGUUCCCAAUCCUCUGAUCACCUUUCUGACCCUUCUUUUGACCCUCUCCAGCCUGUCCAUGUCAUUUUUGUGUAGUGGGGACCAAAAUUGAACUUUGUAUUCCAGGUGUGGCGUGACAAGUGGGAUAAUGACAUAUUUAUCUUUGUUGGUGAUGCCCUUGUUGAUGCAACUCAGAAUCCUGCUGGCUUUCUUUUUAUAUUGUGUUGAAAUAUUGUUGGAACACUGAGUUGCAGAUUUUGUUCAUUAAACAACACUAAUGCAAUUUAUUAAAAAUGAAUGUCUUUCUAA